UUGUGCCAGCAGCCGCGGUAAUACCAGCUCUCCGGGUGGUGUGGAUGUUUAUUGGGCCUAAAGCAUCCGUAGCUGGCUAGGUUAGUCCCUUGUUAAAUCCACCGAAUUAAUCGUUGGACUGCGGGGGAUACUGCUUGGCUAGGGGACGAGAGAGGCAGACGGUAUUUCCGGGGUAGGGGUGAAAUCCUAUAAUCCCGGGAAGACCACCAGUGGCGAAGGCUGUCUGCUAGAACGCGCCCGACGGUGAGGGAUGAAAGCUGGGGGAGCGAACCGGAUUAGAUACCCGGGUAGUCCCAGCCGUAAACGAUGCAGGCUAGGUGUUUGGACGGCUACGUGCCGUUCUAGUGCCGCAGGGAAGCUGUUAAGCCUGCCGCCUGGGGAGUACGAUCGCAAGGUUGAAACUUAAAGGAAUUGACGGGGGAGCACCACAAGGGGUGAAGCUUGCGGUUUAAUUGGAGUCAACGCCGGAAAUCUUACCGGGAGCGACAGCAGUAUGAAGGCCAGAUUAAAGGUCUUGCCAGACGAGCUGAGAGGAGGUGCAUGGCCGUCGCCAGUUCGUGCCGUGAGGUGUCCUGUUAAGUCAGGCAACGAUCGAGACCCGCGUCCUCUGUUGCAACUAGCCUUGUGCUGGGCACACUGAGGAGACCGCCACUGAUAAAGUGGAGGAAGGAGCGGGCCACGGCAGGUCAGUAUGCCCCGAAUCUCCCGGGCCACACGCGAGCUGCAAUGGCAGGUGCAAUGGGUUCCGACCUCGAAAGGGGAAGGCAAUCUCGAAAGCCUGCCGUA
rnacentral:rRNA from 1 species